GAGACUGUAAAUUUUCGACUUUAUUUCAAAGUCAUCUUCAGACAGAAAAUUCAUUCUGUCUGAAGAUGACUUUGAAAUAAAGUCGAAAAUUUACAGUCUC